rnacentral:rRNA from 1 species
AAAUUGAAGAGUUUGAUCAUGGCUCAGAUUGAACGCUGGCGGCAGGCCUAACACAUGCAAGUCGAGCGGUAGCACAGAGAGCUUGCUCUCGGGUGACGAGCGGCGGACGGGUGAGUAAUGUCUGGGAAACUGCCUGAUGGAGGGGGAUAACUACUGGAAACGGUAGCUAAUACCGCAUAACGUCGCAAGACCAAAGUGGGGGACCUUCGGGCCUCAUGCCAUCAGAUGUGCCCAGAUGGGAUUAGCUAGUAGGUGGGGUAAUGGCUCACCUAGGCGACGAUCCCUAGCUGGUCUGAGAGGAUGACCAGCCACACUGGAACUGAGACACGGUCCAGACUCCUACGGGAGGCAGCAGUGGGGAAUAUUGCACAAUGGGCGCAAGCCUGAUGCAGCCAUGCCGCGUGUGUGAAGAAGGCCUUCGGGUUGUAAAGCACUUUCAGCGGGGAGGAAGGCGGUGAGGUUAAUAACCUCACCGAUUGACGUUACCCGCAGAAGAAGCACCGGCUAACUCCGUGCCAGCAGCCGCGGUAAUACGGAGGGUGCAAGCGUUAAUCGGAAUUACUGGGCGUAAAGCGCACGCAGGCGGUCUGUCAAGUCGGAUGUGAAAUCCCCGGGCUUAACCUGGGAACUGCAUUCGAAACUGGCAGGCUAGAGUCUUGUAGAGGGGGGUAGAAUUCCAGGUGUAGCGGUGAAAUGCGUAGAGAUCUGGAGGAAUACCGGUGGCGAAGGCGGCCCCCUGGACAAAGACUGACGCUCAGGUGCGAAAGCGUGGGGAGCAAACAGGAUUAGAUACCCUGGUAGUCCACGCCGUAAACGAUGUCGAUUUGGAGGUUGUGCCCUUGAGGCGUGGCUUCCGGAGCUAACGCGUUAAAUCGACCGCCUGGGGAGUACGGCCGCAAGGUUAAAACUCAAAUGAAUUGACGGGGGCCCGCACAAGCGGUGGAGCAUGUGGUUUAAUUCGAUGCAACGCGAAGAACCUUACCUGGUCUUGACAUCCACAGAACUUAGCAGAGAUGCUUUGGUGCCUUCGGGAACUGUGAGACAGGUGCUGCAUGGCUGUCGUCAGCUCGUGUUGUGAAAUGUUGGGUUAAGUCCCGCAACGAGCGCAACCCUUAUCCUUUGUUGCCAGCGGUCCGGCCGGGAACUCAAAGGAGACUGCCAGUGAUAAACUGGAGGAAGGUGGGGAUGACGUCAAGUCAUCAUGGCCCUUACGACCAGGGCUACACACGUGCUACAAUGGCAUAUACAAAGAGAAGCGACCUCGCGAGAGCAAGCGGACCUCAUAAAGUAUGUCGUAGUCCGGAUUGGAGUCUGCAACUCGACUCCAUGAAGUCGGAAUCGCUAGUAAUCGUAGAUCAGAAUGCUACGGUGAAUACGUUCCCGGGCCUUGUACACACCGCCCGUCACACCAUGGGAGUGGGUUGCAAAAGAAGUAGGUAGCUUAACCUUCGGGAGGGCGCUUACCACUUUGUGAUUCAUGACUGGGGUGAAGUCGUAACAAGGUAACCGUAGGGGAACCUGCGGUUGGAUCACCUCCUUACCUUAAAGAA